AUUAAUGCCUUUUAUAUUUCUUAUGCUAUGAGGUAUAUCUCAAAAAAUGAAAUUUUAUGAUGCAUUUACUUUGGCAAAGUAAAAAACUAAAUAUUUUUAAAUUUUUAUUGGGACAUACUUUAAAUUUUUUGAUUAAUUAUGGACACAAAAACUCAAGAUUUCAAUAUAUUUAUUGAUGCAUGCAUUAUGUGGCUAAAAAAAAGAUGAAAGAAUGAAUGAGAGAGGAUAGCCAAGACUCCUUUGUGAAUUGAGAGAGGAUAUCAAAAGAAGGUUUUGGGUAGUAGAAUAAAUGAAGAAUCUCCACCAAAACUACAUGAAUUAUUAGUGUAGUAGGCAUAAACUUGAUGUACAGUUGUGCUUAUGUGCAACAACAUCUAGAGUUAUUUGGUGGGUUGAAGUCAUUUAAAGCCUCUAGGGGCUUGAGAGUGCCUUGGUAAUUGUUUGGUGGGAUGGAACUUAUAAACUAAGUAGAGGCUUGUCAAUUUCGUAACAACUUUUCAAUGAGCCAAAGUCAAUACAUUCAAUGGGUAUUUGACAACACCAUAGUUAUUGUUUGGUAGAAAUAAGCUGCUACAGCCGAAGGAGAAGUGAUAACUCCUUGGUAUCUAUUUAGUAGGUCAUAGCCUACAAAGUAAAGAUUGAUUCACUAUAAGGAAUCUUAUUCAUAAUCUCAAGUGCUAGAUUGCUUGGAAGCCCAAUAGACUAUUCAAUUUUACAUGAUUUGUUUACAAUACAUAGAUGUAUUAUUCUUAUUUUUAGAAUCAGCGCAAGGUACUAUUCAUGUGUGGCCCACUAAGACAAAGCAUAAUUAAACUAAUAAGAU
rnacentral:lncRNA from 1 species